GGGGCUGCCUGGGAAUGUUACAGCCGGCGGCAGAAGAUGCACCUGGUGUCCCUGAAGUUUGGCCAUUUCCAAUGCCAAUAACUAAUGAGUCAUCGGUUUUUCCCUAUUUGCUGCAGGUGCUGCCAUGGGACUCCUCACUAUUCCUGUGGAUAAAUGCAGGGUUAGCAAUAUCUCAAAUCCAUAACAGCUGAACUCCAGUUUUCAACAGCUUUCACCACAGCUGCAUCAGCUUACAGUUAUUAUCAUUAAAGGUCCUGACCCAGUGAUUGUUUGGAGUCCGGGGUAUGUUUGUUUGUUUCCACAGAGAGAACAGCAGCCAAUUUGGAUUCCAGAGAGACUAACUAAAUCGAUUUCUACAGACCAAAAAGAUCCUUACAUCUUCAAUAAUGGUUCUCCCACACCUGGAGGCUAAUGAAUAAUGAGCACCAUUAAGGCCUAUUUCAAAUGUAAAUUACUGAAAUCCAAAUGAGACUUCAGAAAUACAGCUAACAUCAUCACAGCUGUUGCUAUUUCUGCUGCUGCUACUACAGCUUCUGCGAUAGCUAUCACACAAACUGUACAAACUGUUGCAUUAAUAUUUACUUCAAGAAGAAAUAGACAUAUUAAUGAAUUCAUCUGCUUUAAGCUGCUUGUGGAACUUACCUGGACUGUGUAUCACUUAUAUGCAUUAUGAACUGAUACAACAAAUUGUAAUUAGUACAAGGGUAUCUUUGCUGAUGGUGUCAUCUGUGGUACAGUUUUUCCAGGGAUCUCUCACUUGGAGCAGUCAAUGGCUUGAUAUCAUAGCAUUUUGUAUCCUCCUCCUUUCUGCUUGUGGCAGGUUUUUUUGGUGUAUGUGUAAAAACCACUGUGGUCGUUAUCCACAAGUGUUGGGCUGGUAGUCAAAGACGGGUAAGAUUCAAUUACAAUGGUACCAACCUAAGACAGGAGGCUGACGAUUUGAGGUCAGACCAUCCAAUGAUGGGUAAGGACCAUAUGUAGUAUUGGACAACCUAAAACAGGAACAGUCCCUAAGCCACAUACUUGUUGUUUAAUUAAACAAAAGGAUGCCUAGCAGCUGGGAAGUUUUCUCUGCAAAGGCACACAAUGCCUAGCUGCUAGGAAAAUUUCUGUCCAAGUACAUGGAUGCCUAGCUUUUGUAGCAAUACCCUUAAUGAGGAGUUCUGUGCUAGAGUCUUAUCAGCCUAGACCUUGAUCUCAGGUACAAAGAAACUCUUGUUAGACAACCACAAUAUUUUACCAAGCUCUGCUGUGCCAGAAUCUGUCCACAGAACAGUAACAAUGGACUUUCUUGAGAGCUACACAAAGCUCCUAACAUUGCACAUUAAAACUACAGCAUGAAAUUGACUAAUAAGCUGCAUAAUGUUGCUAACUCUGUAACCUGCCUAGUGACACAUGGACAAUAAUGUACUACUGAUGCCAGGGACCCAAUGUAACCUAUUGAUAUAAAUAAAACUGGCAGCUUGGACAAG
rnacentral:lncRNA from 1 species